rnacentral:rRNA from 1 species
AUGAACGCUGGCGGCGUGCCUAAUACAUGCAAGUCGCGCGAACAGACGAGGAGCUUGCUCCUCUGACGUUAGCGGCGGACGGGUGAGUAACACGUGGAUAACCUACCUAUAAGACUGGGAUAACUUCGGGAAACCGGAUCUAAUACCGGAUAAUAUAUUUAACCGCAUGGUUCAAUAGUGAAAGACGGUUUUGCUGUCACUUAUAGAUUGAUCCGCGCCGCAUUAGCUAGUUGGUAAGGUAACGGCUUACCAAGGCAACGAUGCGUAGCCGAACUGAGAGGGUGAUCGGCCACACUGGAACUGAGACACGGUCCAGACUCCUACGGGAGGCAGCAGUAGGGAAUCUUCCGCAAUGGGCGAAAGCCUGACGGAGCAACGCCGCGUGAGUGAUGAAGGUCUUCGGAUCGUAAAACUCUGUUAUUAGGGAAGAACAAAUGUGUAAGUAACUAUGCACGUCUUGACGGUACCUAAUCAGAAAGCAACGGCUAACUACGUG